rnacentral:rRNA from 1 species
CAAUAGCGUAUAUUAAAGCUGUUGCGGUUAAAAAGCUCGUAGUUGGAUUUCUGUCAAGGACAGCUGGUCCGCCCUCCGGGUGAGCACAUAGUUUGGUCUUGGCAUCUUGCUGGAAACUGUUGCUGCGCUUGGUUGUGUGGUGCAGCUUUCAGCACUUUCACUUUGAGGAAAUUGGAGUGUUUCAAGCAGGCACAUGCCUUUGGACACAGUAGCAUGGAAUAAUUAGAUUGGGCUUUUGCUCCAACUUGUUGGUUCCUGGAGCUGAGGUGAGAAUCAAUGGGGAUUGUUGGGGGCAUCCGAAUUUAGCCGUCAGAGGUGAAAUUCUUGGAUCUGCUAAAGACGGACAACUGCGAAAGCGUUUGCCCAGGAUGUUUUCAUUG